AAAUUACAUCAAUAGUUUCCUUCCCCUUUUCUCUCCCCAUAAUUCUCGCCGGGGUUCUCUUGUAUUCCCGUCGCGUUUUUGAGGAAUCCGUAUAUCCGAACACCGGCUUUCGAGGUAUAAGAAGAAUGAGCUUUCAGGAUCUGGAGGCGGGCUGGUCCGUUGGCUCAUUGAGGAGAGAUUUGGCGAAUGGAAUUGCGAAGCAAGACUCCACGCAGGCCGUCGCUUCUGGAAUUUUCCAGAUCAACACCGCCGUCUCGACGUUUCAACGACUUGUUAAUACGCUUGGGACCCCCAAGGAUACGCCGGAGCUGCGUGAGAAGCUACACAAGACAAGGCUACAUAUUGGGCAGUUGGUAAAGGAUACUUCGGCUAAACUAAAACAAGCUAGUGAGUCAGAUCAUCGUGUUGAAGUUAGCGCAAGCAAGAAAAUUGCAGAUGCUAAACUUGCAAAAGAUUUUCAAGCUGUUUUAAAAGAGUUUCAGAAGGCCCAGCGGCUUGCAGCUGAAAGGGAAACAGCUUACACUCCUUUUGUUCCCCAGGCAGUUCUUCCUUCCAGCAACAAAGCCCAGGAACUAGACAUAAGUUCAGAUAGGAGUGAAGAACAGCGUGCUCUUCUUGUGGAAUCUAGAAGACAGGAGGUUUUGCUAUUAGACAAUGAGAUUGCCUUCAAUGAGGCGGUCAUUGAGGAGAGAGAGCAAGGAAUUAAUGAGAUCCAGCAGCAAAUUGGUGAAGUGAAUGAGAUCUUUAAAGAUCUUGCUGUGCUUGUCCAUGAGCAGGGAUCUAUGAUUGCAUCUUGCAGAUGAUAUUGGGACCCAUAUUGAAAAUUCUCGUGCAACAACUGCACAGGCAAAAUCACAUCUUGUGAAAGCAGCAAAGACCCAAAAAUCAAAUUCCUCUCUGGCAUGUUUGCUCUUAGUGAUAUUUGCAAUUGUGCUCCUCAUUUUGAUCGUAGUACUUGCAGCUUGAUGAGAAGAUUAAUCCGAAAAAUGUGAGUGGAGAGAAUAUCCAAGAUGUGGUCGGCAACAAGAGGGUAAUCUGAUCAGUCAUACUAAUCUCUUUUGAUAUUGUCGUUUCAUUGAAACAUUGUCCUCCUCACAGAGGAGAGCGUUACAGUUGUUGACUGAGUUAGUACAUAAUAUGUGACAUUCAGUUGCAUGGGAUGGGGGGUGUCUGUUGUUUAUUGCACAUUGCUGAAGGGUGUUGCGGCUUGUUAUGUAAUGUGUUUUUGGGGCUUUUUAAAAUUAUUAAUAACAAAAUAUAUUGAUUC